AUGGCCCGUCUUCCCUUAAGCGUGAGACGUCGAAGAAGAAAUGUAGCAUUUAUUAAUCUGAUGAGUGCCAUUAUGCUCGUAUACUAUUAUGUGUGGUUAAUCUUUGGAUUAGUUUAUAGAAGAAUGUGUUGGCAAAUAGAAAGGAGGCUUAGAAUUAGAGAGCUAAGAGGAGAGAGUUUGCAUAAACUAAUUGGUGAGAGUGACACAGCGUCUAUAAGUCAACUUCGUAUGGAUAGGAGAACAUUUCAUAUAUUAUGUGAGAUGGUGAGAGAUGUUGGUGGCCUAAUACAUGGAAUACAUCAUUGGAGGAGAUAG
rnacentral:rRNA from 1 species